GCAAACUUGGUCAUUUAGAGGAAGUAAAAGUCGUAACAAGGUUUCCGUAGGUGAACCUGCGGAAGGAUCAUUAACAAAUCCGGGUGGUGGGUGCGUGGACGGUGCAUGCCUGACACGCACCCCAUGCCUGUUCCGUGUGCACGCCGUGUACACUGUGACAUUUCUGCGCGUUGUCUGAUUGGUUGGUUGCGAAUGCAAGGAACGACUUUUAACAAUGGAUCUCUAGGCUCCUGCAUCGAUGAAGAACGCAGC
rnacentral:misc_RNA from 1 species